AGGGAAUCUUCCACAAUGGACGCAAGUCUGAUGGAGCAACGCCGCGUGAGUGAAGAAGGUUUUCGGACCGUAAAGCUCUGUUGUUGGUGAAGAAGGAUAGAGGUAGUAACUGGCCUUUAUUUGACGGUAAUCAACCAGAAAGUCACGGCUAACUACGUGCCAGCAGCCGCGGUAAUACGUAGGUGGCAAGCGUUGUCCGGAUUUAUUGGGCGUAAGGCGAGCGCAGGCGGAAGAAUAAGUCUGAUGUGAAAGCCCUCGGCUUAACCGAGGAAUUGCAUCGGAAACUGUUUUUCUUGAGUGCAGAAGAGGAGAGUAGAACUCCAUGUGUAGCGGUGGAAUGCGUAGAUAUAUGGAAGAAUACCAGUGGCGAAGGCGGCUUUCUGGUCUGCAACUGACGCUGAGGCUCGAAAGCAUGGGUAGCGAACAGGAUUAGAUACCCCUGGGUA
rnacentral:rRNA from 1 species